GGAAAGAUGAGGAACAUGAAAAAAAGGAAAUAAGAAUGUAUUUUGUGAUUUCCAAAAAUGUAGUUUAUAUCAAACUUUGAAAUCUAGAAAUUGACAAUGAGGGUCAUUUAAACCUCUUAAAAAAUGCAUAUUUUAUAAAUGAUACAUGUAUUUAAAUUGUUUUGUGCUAUUGUAGGAACCAAGAUCAUUUAUGUUCACACCCC
rnacentral:lncRNA from 1 species